AUUGAACGCUGGCGGCAGGCCUAACACAUGCAAGUCGAGCGAGCGGCGGACGGGUGAGUAAUGUAUGGGGAUCUGCCCGAUAGAGGGGGAUAACUACUGGAAACGGUGGCUAAUACCGCAUACUAUCGGAUGAACCCAUAUGGGAUUAGCUAGUAGGUGGGGUAAAGGCUCACCUAGGCGACGAUCUCUAGCUGGUCUGAGAGGAUGAUCAGCCACACUGGGACUGAGACACGGCCCAGACUCCUACGGGAGGCAGCAGUGGAGAAUAUUGGACAAUGGGGGAUAGCCUGAUCCAGCCAUGCCGCGUGUGUGAAGAAGGUCUUCGGAUUGUAAAAAUCUUUUCUAUGGGAAGCAGUACCAUAGGAAUAAGCACCGGCUAAUUACGUGCCAGCCGCCGCGGUAAUUC
rnacentral:rRNA from 1 species